GUUCUCGACUCAGCAGUACAUAUACUGAAAUCAGAAUGAUACAGAGAUUAGCAUGUUCCCUGCUCAAGGAUGACACACAAAUUUAUGACGUAUUCCAUGCUUUA